rnacentral:sRNA from 1 species
CGGCUAUGUGCAUUUAAAGAUCCGUAUCAGCAAGACCUUGGGAUAGGUGAGAGUAGAAUCUCUCAUGAAAAUGGGACAAUAUUAUGCUCGAAAGGUAGCACCUGCUAUGGCCUUUGGGAGAAAUCAAAAGGGGACAUAAAUCUUGUAAAACAAGGAUGUUGGUCUCACAUUGGAGAUCCCCAAGAGUGUCACUAUGAAGAAUGUGUAGUAACUACCACUCCUCCCUCAAUUCAGAAUGGAACAUACCGUUUCUGCUGUUGUAGCACAGAUUUAUGUAAUGUCAACUUUACUGAGAAUUUUCCACCUCCUGACACAACACCACUCAAGACGGGGUUUCACCGUGUUAGCCAGGAUGGUCUCGAUCUCCUGACCUCAUGAUCCGCCCGCCUCGGCCUCCCAAAGUGCUGGGAUUACAGGCGUGAGCCACCGCGCCUGCUGGAAAGGUCACUUAUUAUUCCUAUAGUUUUGUAUUGUUUGAAUCUUUAAUUUAAAAUGAGAAUAUAUUCAUGUAUUAUUUGUGUAACCAAUAACCUGCUUGUUAAUUUGGAAAAAGAGAAAAAUGACAUAAGUAGCAAGGAAAAAAAUAAUCUCCAAUAGUCUCUACACCCAUAUACAACCAUUGUUAAUAUUUAGAAUGUUUCUUUCCAGUCUUUUCUCUCUUAUUUUUGCGUAGCUGUAUUUGUAAUAUACAUCCAUUUUAGAUCCUGCCUUUUUGUUUAACAUAAAUAUUUUCCAGGUUACUAUAUAUGUUUCAUAG